UAGGGAAUCUUCGGCAAUGGACGAAAGUCUGACCGAGCAACGCCGCGUGAGUGAAGAAGGUUUUCGGAUCGUAAAACUCUGUUGUUAGAGAAGAACAAGGACGUUAGUAACUGAACGUCCCCUGACGGUAUCUAACCAGAAAGCCACGGCUAACUACGUGCCAGCAGCCGCGGUAAUACGUAGGUGGCAAGCGUUGUCCGGAUUUAUUGGGCGUAAAGCGAGCGCAGGCGGUUUCUUAAGUCUGAUGUGAAAGCCCCCGGCUCAACCGGGGAGGGUCAUUGGAAACUGGGGGGCUUGAGUGCAGAAGAGGAGAGUGGAAUUCCAUGUGUAGCGGUGAAAUGCGUAGAUAUAUGGGGGAACACCAGGGGCGAAGGCGGCUCUCUGGUCUGUAACUGACGCUGAGGCUCGAAAGCGUGGGGAGCAAACAGG
rnacentral:rRNA from 1 species